GACGAACGCUGGCGGCGUGCUUAACACAUGCAAGUCGAACGGUAAGGCCCUUCGGGGUACACGAGUGGCGAACGGGUGAGUAACACGUGGGUGGUCUGCCCUGCACUUUGAGAUAAGCCUGGGAAACUGGGUCUAAUACCGGAUAGGACCACUGCCUGCAUGGGUGGUGGUGGAAAGCUUUUGCGGUGUGGGAUGGGCCCGCGGCCUAUCAGCUUGUUGGUGGGGUGAUGGCCUACCAAGGCGACGACGGGUAGCCGGCCUGAGAGGGUGACCGGCCACACUGGGACUGAGAUACGGCCCAGACUCCUACGGGAGGCAGCAGUGGGGAAUAUUGCACAAUGGGCGCAAGCCUGAUGCAGCGACGCCGCGUGAGGGAUGACGGCCUUCGGGUUGUAAACCUCUUUCAGCACCGACGAAGCGCAAGUGACGGUAGGUGCAGAAGGAGGACCGGCCAACUACGUGCCAGCCGCCGCCACAC
rnacentral:rRNA from 1 species